GAGGAUGGCGGACGGGUGAGUAACGCGUAAGGAACUUGCCUCUUGGACUGGGACAACUGUUGGAAACGACAGCUAAUACCGGAUAUUAUGAGAUUCUCGCAUGAGAAACUUAUGAAAGCUAUAUGCGCCAAGAGAGAGCCUUGCGUUCCAUUAGCUAGUUGGUGGGGUAACGGCCCACCAAGGCGACGAUGGAUAGCCGGCCUGAGAGGGUGAACGGCCACAAGGGGACUGAGACACGGCCCUUACUCCUACGGGAGGCAGCAGUGGGGAAUAUUGGACAAUGGGCCACAAGCCUGAUCCAGCAAUUCUGUGUGCACGAUGAAGGUCUUCGGAUUGUAAAGUGCUUUCAGUUGGGAAGAAGAAAGUGACGGUACCAACAGAAGAAGCGACGGCUAAAUACGUGCCAGCAGCCGCGGUAAUACGUAUGUCGCAAGCGUUAUCCGGAUUUAUUGGGCGUAAAGCGCGUCUAGGCGGAAAAAUAAGUCUGAUGUUAAAAUGCGGGGCUCAACUCCGUAUUGCGUUGGAAACUGUUUUUCUAGAGUACUGGAGAGGUGGGCGGAACUACAAGUGUAGAGGUGAAAUUCGUAGAUAUUUGUAGGAAUGCCGAUGGAGAAGUCAGCUCACUGGACAGAUACUGACGCUGAAGCGCGAAAGCGUGGGGA
rnacentral:rRNA from 1 species